GCUGGCAGCUAGCUCUCUGUAACUUUCACAUGGUCACACACUGAAGUUAAGCAGAGUUGUGUCCGGUCAGUACCUGGAUGGGCGACCACGUGCGAGAGCUAGGUUGCUGUUGGAA
rnacentral:rRNA from 1 species